AUUGAACGCUGGCGGCAUGCUUUACACAUGCAAGUCGAACGGCAGCGCGGGCUUCGGCCUGGCGGUGAGUGGCGAACGGGUGAGUAAUGCAUCGGAACGUGCCCAGUAGUGGGGGAUAGCCCGCCGAAAGCCGGACUAAUACCGCAUACGUCCUGAGGGUGAAAGCGGGGGACCGAAAGACCUCGCGCUAUUGGAGCGGCCGAUGUCGGAUUAGCUAGUUGGUGGGGUAAAGGCUUACCAAGGCGACGAUCCGUAGCUGGUCUGAGAGGACGACCAGCCACACUGGAACUGAGACACGGCCCAGACUCCUACGGGAGGCAGCAGUGGGGAAUUUUGGACAAUGGGGGCAAGCCUGAUCCAGCCAUGCCGCGUGCGGGAAGAAGGCCUUCGGGUUGUAAACCGCUUUUGUUCGGGAAGAAAUCCUCUGGGCUAAUACCCCGGGGGGAUGACGGUACCGGAAGAAUAAGCACCGGCUAACUACGUG
rnacentral:rRNA from 1 species